rnacentral:rRNA from 1 species
GACGAACGCUGGCGGCGUGCCUAAUACAUGCAAGUAGAACGCACAGUUUAUACCGUAGCUUGCUACACCAUAGACUGUGAGUUGCGAACGGGUGAGUAACGCGUAGGUAACCUGCCUGGUAGCGGGGGAUAACUAUUGGAAACGAUAGCUAAUACCGCAUAAUAUUGAUUAUUGCAUGAUAAUUGAUUGAAAGAUGCUAUUGCAUCACUACCAGAUGGACCUGCGUUGUAUUAGCUAGUAGGUGAGGUAACGGCUCACCUAGGCGACGAUACAUAGCCGACCUGAGAGGGUGAUCGGCCACACUGGGACUGAGACACGGCCCAGACUCCUACGGGAGGCAGCAGUAGGGAAUCUUCGGCAAUGGACGAAAGUCUGACCGAGCAACGCCGCGUGAGUGAAGAAGGUUUUCGGAUCGUAAAGCUCUGUUGUAAGAGAAGAACGGGUGUGAGAGUGGAAAGUUCACACUGUGAUGGUAUCUUACCAGAAAGGGACGGCUAACUACGUG